AUUUUCCGCGGACCACAUCGCCAGCUUCGGUUGGAGGAAAGUCCGGACAACACAGAGCGCCACGCUUCCUAACGGGAAGGUUCCGCUAUGCGGAAACAGCAAGUGCAGCAGAGAGUAGACCGCCUCGACCAUUGUGUUGGGGUAAGGGUGAAAGGGUGAGGUAAGAGCUCACCAGUACGGAUGGCGACAUGCGUAGCUAGGUAAACCUCGUGGGUUGAAAUGUCAUGUAUACCGACAGUCCUGCAAUUGCGGGAUAAGGGCUGCUCGCCUAAUGUCGGGGGGUAGGCAGAUUGAGGGUGCGGGUGACCGUACUUCUAGAUAAAUGAUGUGGAUUGUUUCGGCAAUAACAGAAUCCGGCUUAUGAGCGGAAUACUUCA
rnacentral:RNase_P_RNA from 1 species